GCCUAGCCCAGAUAAUAGCGGCAUCCUUUUUAUCUCGUUUUUUUCGAGAUAAAAAGAUAUAGCGGAUAGCUGGAAAAAGC
rnacentral:sRNA from 1 species